AUACUUACCUGGCAGGGGCGAGACCUUAAUGAAGUAGGUGGUUCACACAAGGCGAGGCUUAGCCAUUGCACUACAGUUGUGCUGACCCCUGCGAAUUCCCCAAAUGUGAGAAUCUCGACUGCAUAAUUUCUGAUAGUGGGGGACUGUGUACGCGCUCUCCCCUG